UUCAUUUUAUAUUGUAAUAUUAAACGGUACGACGACGCUUUCAUUUGCAAAUAUCUUGCUGGCAUUAAUUUAUAUUAGAUAAAUCAUUAAAAACAAAAAAGAAAAAUUUAUUUCCAUAAAAAAAAACUGUGGUUUUGGUAUUGAUUUCGAAUUUUGGUUUGUUUCAGAUAAAAAGAAUGAAGUUGCAGCUGUUUUUCCUAAUUUUUUCAGUUGUAUCUAAUAUGAUAAACAGUAAUGACCAGAUUCAAAACGAGGUUAUAUCUUCGAAUUUUCCUAUAAAUUACGAUAGAGCAGAAAAGAAAUUUUCAAAACGAGAUGUUCCAUUAUUACGUCUUUCAGACUUUAAAACUAUCUACGAAAACAUGCAAGCUAAUCUCGUUAUUGAAUGGAAAACUCUUAUUGACAACAGUAACGUCUUUACCGAAAGUAAAGAUUAGUAGAACACCAGAGUACGGUGGGUGUUCAACAACUUAUGGGAAUUUUCUUACAUGACGCAUAUCGAUAAUAUGACACGAUAAGUAAGCAAUACAUGCAAAUGACAUAUGUAUAUAAAACGUAUAUAAGACAUGCAUAUAGCAUAAAAUAUCAUACAUAGAAUUGUUACGUAUGACAUAUUCGUAUACAAAUUACGAGACGUAGCGAUAAAAAAAAAACUCUUUUGUGUUA